UAAAGGUAUAAGGAUAUUGUAGGAUGGUAAUUUUUUUGUAACUCGUUUGGAGAAACUUGUCUGGCCAAAGUUAAUUGACAAUUUUUUCAUAUGGAAAACUUAAAAUUAUCACGGCCUGCAGAAAAUUUAAAUUAAUCUCUGAUAAAGAGAUUGUAUAUUUAUACUCGUAACUCUGCUCUUAAAGAAGAUAGAGGUUAUAAUGUCAUAUACGGUAUAUGUAUAGAGAAAAAGAAAUAUUUAUGGUCAUAACUCUGCUCCCAAAGGAGGUAUUAUGAUGUAAUAUAAGGUGUAUUUUUUAAAUUUUGGUUUGGUAAUUUUUAGUUGUGGCAUUUUAUUGAUAAAACAUACAUUUUAUUUUUCAACUA
rnacentral:lncRNA from 1 species